AAGUUCUUGAUCACCUUGGAUAUGUAACCAAAAAUAAGCACCUGCAGAAUUCCUGUUGGAUGGUACUGGUUGCUGCAGAAAUGAAGAAAUGCAUAUCAAUGCAAAUGAUUACACAUGAAGAGGCAAUUCUGAGAAAAAUCUUUUGAACACUGAGUGGAUUGCACCAUAUUUCUGGACAAUUUUCACUACAAGACCUCCACUGAUUCAGAAGAUCUUUCAAGUUAAAAAUCAGAGAAGUGUUUAAUUUGAAUAGCAAGGGUCAGCUGGAUCCUUGCAGUCCAUGCAAUCAGCCACACUGGGCAAGUCAGAAUCAGUAAUCAUGACAAGACUGAACCAUAGCUUGAACAACUGGAUCAGAGACCUUGAAUUCAUCAUAAUUCUUCAGCAGCUUCAAUGUCAAGAAACAAACGCUUCUAUGUAAAAGGUUUACAUAUCUAUGUUAGACAUCAGGACAAGCAAGGAGAUCCUCCAUUUCAUUGGUGGAAAGGGAUGGGUUUCAUAUCAGUAAGGCUUUUAUCUCCUUAACAACGGAAAGAAAGGAACUGGAUCUGUGCACGUAAAAGGGCUUUAGUUAAAUCCUACUUGUGGAACUGAAAGAUGAAAUGAUGAGGAGGUAAAUCAUACUUUAUUGAAAUAAUGGUUGUUGGGUUUCAGUUUACAAAAGAAGAGAAACAAAGUACACUAGAAAAGAACAUUUAUAAGGGUUUUGAAUUGUGGUAUGGAAAAUUCUAGGGCACUGAUUUACUGUUGAGAUUUUACAGAGAUAAUUGGUAACUUUGAUUGUGUACGUUGUUUUAUUGUUGAGAAACACUGAGAUUUCAAGUGGUAACAGGGUGCUAGAUGCAGCAAUCCUUUCUUGUUAGCAAGUGAGAAACACUGAUGGGAUUAGGUGCCUAUCACCCAGUUACUUUGUUGCUAUUUCCUCAUUAGGUUUGCU